rnacentral:misc_RNA from 1 species
GAUGAAGAACGCAGCGAAAUGAGAUAAGUAAUGUGAAUUGCAGAAUUCAGUGAAUCAUCGAAUCUUUGAACGCACAUUGCGCCCGCCAGUAUUCUGGCGGGCAUGCCUGUUCGAGCGUCAUUUCAACCAUCAAGCCCCCGGCUUGUGUUGGGGACCUGCGGCUGCCGCAGGCCCUGAAAAGCAGUGGCGGGCUCGCUGUCACACCGAGCGUAGUAGCAUACAUCUCGCUCUGGGCGUGCUGCGGGUUCCGGCCGUUAAACCACCUUCAUAACCCAAGGUUGACCUCGGAUCAGGGAGGAAGACCCGCUGAACUUAAGCAUAUCAAUAAGCGGAGGA